rnacentral:rRNA from 1 species
AACGAACGCUGGCGGCAUGCCUAACACAUGCAAGUCGAACGAGACCUUCGGGUCUAGUGGCGCACGGGUGCGUAACGCGUGGGAACCUGCCCUUAGGUUCGGAAUAACUCCCCGAAAGGGGUGCUAAUACCGGAUAAUGUCUUCGGACCAAAGAUUUAUCGCCUUUGGAUGGGCCCGCGUUGGAUUAGCUAGUUGGUAGGGUAAAAGCCUACUAAGGCGACGAUCCAUAGCUGGUCUGAGAGGAUGAUCAGCCACACUGGGACUGAGACACGGCCCAGACUCCUACGGGAGGCAGCAGUGGGGAAUAUUGGACAAUGGGCGAAAGCCUGAUCCAGCAAUGCCGCGUGAGUGAUGAAGGCCUUAGGGUUGUAAAGCUCUUUUACCGGGGAUGAUAAUGACAGUACCGGGAGAAUAAGCUCCGGCUAACUCCGUG